rnacentral:ncRNA from 6 species
CUUGGACUGAAGGGAGCUCC